UGCACAUCUCACACCAUGUCCCCUGUAUUCAUUACAAGCUCAUGGCCAAGAUCUCACAUAGGAGACUGGUCCAAAAGAUUGAGCCUGUGGGGUCGAGUCAGGUGGUGAACCAGUCCAAGAUCAACUUGGCAGUUGGAGGUAAAUGGUGAGAUAGUGAAAGGUUGUCUUUGUGAUUGAAAGACUGCAACCAGUGGGGUUCUGCAGGGUUUGGUGCUGGGACUCUUACUGUUAGUCAUAUACAUUAAUGAUCUGGUUAUGAAUUACAGGAGGUAUGAUUGGUAAGUCUGCAGAUGAUAUGAAGAUUUGUGAUAUUGUUGAUACUGAUAGGUUACAGGAUGACAUUGUUGUCCCUUUUCACACCUUGUGGCACAAAAUCCUGUUACCUUAGCAUUUGUCUCUUUUUCUUUACCAGGCCAAGUCAACCCAGCAUGGGUGGGAAGUGUGCGAGGGGCCGUCCGGAUUCGAACCUGGGACCAUUCGCCUUGACGUCCGGUGCAGAUGCCACUGCACCACCGGCCGACUAACAGGCUGACAUUGCUCAUAAAAGCACCAGGUAGAGUGGGGUGAAAGUUCGCUCCUCACCUGCUCCAGUUUGAAGAUGUGUUGGUUGAAGUAAUACUGAAGCUGCUCGUUUGCAUAAUUUAUGCAAAACUGCUCAAAACUGUUGUUCGCAAAAUCCUCAAAACCGAAAAUAUCCAGGACUCCGAUCGACAAGCACUGUGGGCACAGGGAACGGAAUUAGCCUCCUUUAGCCAGUCCAGCCUCGACGUGACAGCAGAGCAGAACGCAACCAGCGAGGGCAGUUGGGUAUGUGGCGCAGGUCCUGAGAAUGAGGCAAUUAAAGGGUGAAGAGGCAAUUGGGAAAUUGCCCCAGGGUAAAGGCACCAGGAUGACUUCCCCAUGAAAACAUUAGAUUUUUCCGGCAGUCCGAGCUUCACAGUCACUUUGUAUUUAAUGGAUUCCUCUGCCUAAACUGAGGUAGAACUUGAAGACAUGAUUUCUGGAUUUGAUGAAGAGUAAGUGACGCCACGUUGCUGCAGAUGGAAACAGUACACAGCCAACGCAAGGGUCUCUGGAACACAGACCGCGUGGGCCACAGCAAUAGUGUGCACAGGGCACUGAGUAAACUCAACGCGUGGAAGUGACCUCAGAUGAAGAGGGAAUCAUGAGGAUUUAUAAUUAACUCAAAAAGAUCUAAACGAUGAUCUCACUUCCGUAUUUGAGUUCAUUCACUUCUCCCCUACUCCUGCCUCCUUUCAGACAGUGUUCAGGGGCAAAGCCUGGAGAGGGGAAGGUACCAUCGGGUGCCGUGUUCA